ACUGCUCAGUAACACGUAGUCAACCUGCCCUGGAGACAUGGACAACCCCGGGAAACUGGGAUUAAUCCGUGAUAGGUCAUCUCAUCUGGAAGGAGAGAUGGCUUAAAGGGGUGCGCGGGCUUCUUCUGCGUAUCUGCUCCAGGAUGGGACUGCGUCCGAUCAGGCUGUUGGCGGGGUAAUGGCCCACCAAACCUGUAACCGGUACGGGCCUUGAGAGAGGUGGCCCGGAGAUGGACACUGAGAGAAGGGUCCAGGUCCUACGGGGCGCAGCAGGCGCGAAACCUUCGCAAUGCGCGAAAGCGUGACGAGGUUAAUCCGAGUGGCCUCCGCUGAGGAGGUCUUUUGUCAGCUGUAAAUAGGCAGGCGAAUAAGGGGAGGGCAAGCCUGGUGUCAGCCGCCGCGGUAAUACCAGCUCCUCGAGUGGUCGGGGCGAUUAUUGGGCCUAAAGCAUCCGUAGCCGGUUCCGUAGGUCCUCUGUUAAAUCCAACCGCUUAACGGUUGACCUGCAGAGGAUACCGCGGGACUAGGAGGCGGGAGAGGCGGACGGUACUCCGCGUGUAGGGGUAAAAUCCUUUGGUCCGCGGAAGACCACCAGUGGCGAAGGCGGUCCGCCAGAACGCGCUCGACGGUGAGGGAUGAAAGCUGGGGGAGCGAACCGGAUUAGAUACCCGGGUAGUCCCAGCCGUAAACGAUGCUAGCUAGAUGAUUCAUUCGCAAGUCGCGAAUGAAGUGUCGCAGGGAAGCCGUUAAGCUAGCCGCCUGGGGAGUACGGUCGCAAGACUGAAACUUAAAGGAAUUGGCGGGGGAGCGA
rnacentral:rRNA from 1 species